rnacentral:rRNA from 1 species
UACGGAGGGUCCGAGCGUUAUCCGGAAUUAUUGGGUUUAAAGGGUCCGUAGGCGGGCAAUUAAGUCAGUGGUGAAAGUCUGUAGCUCAACUAUAGAAUUGCCUUUGAUACUGAUUGUCUUGAGUUAUAGUGAAGUUGCCGGAAUAUGUAGUGUAGCGGAUGAAAUGCAUAGAUAUUACAUAGAACACCGUAUUGACGGAA